UACAGAGGUCUCAAGCGUUGUUCGGAUUCAUUGGGCGUAAAGGGUGCGUAGGCGGCGCGGUAAGUCGGGUGUGAAAUCUCGGAGCUUAACUCCGAAACUGCAUUCGAUACUGCCGUGCUUGAGGACUGGAGAGGAGACUGGAAUUUACGGUGUAGCGGUGAAAUGCGUAGAUAUCGUAAGGAAGACCAGUGGCGAAGGCGACUAUCUGGGCUGAAACUGACGCUGAGGCGCGAAGGCUAGGGGAGCAAACAGG
rnacentral:rRNA from 1 species